rnacentral:lncRNA from 1 species
UGAGGGCAAUAGUUCGAGUCCUCAUAGACUCAAACUCCCUUAAUUAAACAUAAUUAUAUGGAGAUUAUUUGUAAAAUUUUUCUCCCUUACGAAAUACAAGUGGAGUGGAGACACUCCUCCUCCGUGAGGGUUAUUUGUCUGGGCACUUACUUCAUAGAAUUUAAAAUGUAAUAAUAUAAGUCUCAGUUUGUAUAUCUAAUUGUAAAUAUCAGUGUAAUAAUCUGCUGUUAUAACAGUUGUAAAUAUCUGUGUAAUACAGUAACAUGAUGCUUAAUCAGUUAAAAAAAACUAAAUUGAAAAAAUUAUAUUCAAAUUCAAUUUCUUUUACCACUAGAAUAAAAGUAUAUAAAUUAAAUUUAGCGAGAAUUACAGUGAAAACAUAUUUCAUGUGGCAAAGAUUAUAACAAGCUUAAGACGUAUAAAUAAAAAUGAAUUUAAAAGACUAUAUUUCUCCCCAAUGGCAUAAAAUGUUUUAAAAGUAAAUUUAGUAAAACAUACUGCUUACUGUGAAAAUGAAUUUAUAUUUUUCAUAUUUUUAAAUAAUUUAAUUUUUUUUGGUUGUGAUAUAAAUUAACUUAAUUUCAAAAAAAUAUAGAUAUAAAUUUAAGAUUGAACAUAUUUUAUAAUACUUGCACAUCAUUUAGUAGACAAAUCAUGUACCCAUAUAGUGAGUGCAAUGUUACUCAAAUAAUUUAAUUUAAUUUAGAAAUAUAACUGUCAUGCUUAAAUUAUAUAACUAUAAGUAUAACAUAAUACAACAUUAUUCAAUAUUAGUUGCAUUCAAAUUGUAAUUAUCCAUGUUAUGUACCAUUAUGAAUUUGAUUAAUGUUUAACAAAAAAAUUAUUAUAGCAAAAAGGAUUAAAUAAAAUAAUUAAUCUCACUUAAGAUAGUAUGAAUUAAUUUGCACAAGAGAUUGAUUAUGAGUUUUAUUUAAAAAUAUCAAAUAUUAGAUGCUUUAUAUUUUUGUAAUAUAUGAAUAUUUGUUUUAGAGGGUAUACAUAAAACAUACUAAUAUUGGCCACUAAUAAUAACAACAACAACAUUUGAGGGGUAAUUACGAUGUUUGGAAUGAUAAUUAUUUGAUAGUUGGAUAAAUAUUGUCCUCAUUUUAGUAGGUAGGGAUUUAAGUCCUUGAAUGUGAAUCGUGAGAUCCUGGAAUUGAUUUCUUCUAAAUAUCUGGAAAUAAAUCGAUUUCGUUAUAUGUUUAGAUACUCGGAUUCUAAUGUAAUUAAAAGUUGAUAAAAUUAUUUUGAUAGUUUUGUAAGCAAAAUAUCAUUAUAUUUAUUACAUAAUAUUAAAAAUAGUGCAAUUAAUAAAUUAAAUUUUUUAAUUAAUAUAUAAUUAUUUCCAUUUAUUAUAUUUAAAUAGUAUUCUCAUUAGUACAUAAGUUACAUUUUUUAAGGCAAAAUAUCAUUAAAUUUAUAAUGUAAUAUUAAGAAAAAUAAUAUAAUUAUUUUUAUUUAAAUAUAUUAGUCCAAUUAGUUUUAUUUAAUUAUGUUUCUUUUAGGAUAUAAGUUAAAUAUAUUAACUAUAUUUUCCAUGAAUCAAAAGAAAAAGGAAGUAUUUUUUUGGUGUAAAGUUGAGGGGGUCUUUGAUAAUUUACUAGUUUUGAAUUGAUUAUCUUAAUAUUUCCUAAAAUGAGGGAGCUGUAUGAUAGUUUCUUUUAACAUUUGCUGCUUUAAGCGAUUAAAAGGAGCGUAUCGGUGGCCGGUUACAUCCGCAUUAUUAAAAAAAUAAUAAAGGCAGCUGCAUGACAUGCAGCACUGCAUUACAGCCCGACCCCCAAUCAAGAACCCCGAUCCAAAAAAAAUCAAGAACCCUAUCAAAACAAGAUUGUCAUAAUUUUUUGAGUAAAAGAAAAAAAUUAAAAAUUAAAAAAGCAUACUUAUAAUAAAAUUGUGACAUUGGGACGUGGAAAGGACAAUUUCUUAUUAAACUUAUCUUGCCGUGGAGUAGUUACAUUAAAAAAGAUUAAUUAAUUAUUGUAUUCAUCUAGAGAGACUGCGCGGAGAAUGUUUAUAAAGGAAAGUUGGCCAUAUCGGUCACGUAAUUGCUUCUAGAUAGAAUUUAAAACCAUACUACACGUCAAUAUAUAUGAACAUUACUCUAUGUUUGUUUUAGUAAAUUAAUUUUUUUUUCUCAUGUUACAAAAUCUUUUUAUUAUAAAAAAAUAUCUUGUUAAGUUAAAUCAUAUGUAAAUUGUAAUAAAUUAAAAAAUAGUUAUCUAUAACCUCCCCUUGCUUCACAUAUUAUUAUUUUUUAAUAUUGAAUUAUAUUUUUGAGUUGCUGUAAGUUAUUAACAGCUGUCAAAAAAAUAGUUUACUUCUAAUUUUUUUUUGUUUCUUUUAUUAUUUUAUCCCCAGCAAAAUCUACCUUUAAUUAAUAAAAAAAAUUAUGAGUAAUAAAAUUAACAAAUUUCUUUGAGCACAUAAAUUAAUGAGUUUUGAUACAGGAAGAGAGAAAUAAUUAAUUAUGAUAUAUGAUAUUAAAAAAAAAAAAGUCCUUGCUAGAUGAUGAGAUCUCUCAUCCGAAUCUUCGAUACAUUUGGUUUAUUGAAGAAUUUUACAUAUAUGGACCUAGAUGAUGAUAUCUAUCUAUCCACGUUGAUUUGAUGGGCGUAACGAGUAACCUGAUGGGCGUGACCAGUCAAAAUAAAAUCAUUUAAUUUAUUGAUUCCUUGACCGAGAGAAUUUUAAACGAACAAAAGUUUCACAGUUUAUAUAUGUCUUCAAAGAGAAAAAGCAGCCGUGUAGAUACCCAUUGAUUAAGAUGAUGAUCUUUGUUAUCUUAUUAAAUGUUUGGAUGUGUUGGAAAUUUUCAGGAUACCGAAUAGACAUUAUAUAUAUUUAGAAAUAUGUUUCACAAAUGUCUUAUAACAUUUUUUAUUAAAAAAUUAAGAUAAAAAAAUAAAUUUUGGAUUGCAUAAAUUAUAGGAAUGGCUAUUAUUAAUGCAAUUAUUUAAAUUUAAUUAUAUAUCAAAAAUAAAAAGAAUAAGGCAAAUCAAAUGAUGACACAUGUCACUGUUUUCAGUAGAGUCACCACGUGGGACCGCAAUCUCCUAACUGCCACUAUUCAAUGACGAUAAGUUUGGGUCACUGCAUUUGCCACCGUGCGUGGCCCUCUCAUGUUACUCCACUUGUAAAAUCGAUCUUAUCAAUUUAUAGAUCUGCAAAAAACUCACUUACAUUCAUACACACACAUAUACAUACAUGUAUAAUUUCCCAAAAAAUAAUUAAGACUUUAGGUUAUCACUCUACGUGUUACUUUAGAAAAGCAACCGUAUAUGCGGCAGCUCAGAGACGUGUGUCCAACAUAAAACUUUGGUUUACAUGUACAUUGAAGAUAUAUAUAUAUAUAUAUAUAUAUAUAUAUAUAUAUAUAUAUAUAUAUUACAGAGUUUAAUUCUAUCCCACAUAAGAAUAAAUAAAAAUUAAAGUAUUUUAAUAAAUACCAUUGAAAUUUGGAUUAAUAACAGAGUAACCGUAACAAUUAACUUUAAUAGGGUGAGAUGGGGUUUGGUAAGUGCAUAUUUUUUUUUUCUUUUCCAAAAGAUUGUUUUCACAUUUCAUAAUCCUACCAUUACAAUGUUCUCUACACAUGUAAUACCACUCCAUCAAAUUAGAUGAUUUUGGGGAAAAUUUUGAUCUAUCCACUCAUGAAGUGACAAUCUUCAAAUUGCCCUUCUUAUUAUUAAAAACAUCAAGUUAUCUCCAAAAACUCAUUAUUUUUAACUAUUGACCGUUGUUGACUCAUAAAAAUACCAAAGUACUCAUAAUUUAACAUAAUAUUUUUGUAAUGACAUUGUAAGGCAAAAAAAAAAGUUAUAUAUGACUAGUUAUUGAAAAAUAAAAAAAAUAAUUGAUGUAUAACUAGUCAUUAAAAAAUAAACUAUUGAAAUGACUUAAUGAACAUAAAUAAAUUAAUAAUUUUUUAAAAUUAAAUAUGUUAAUUAAAUAAAUUACAAGACAUAUCAUCAUAUGUAAAUCGCAAUAAUGUCAUCAUGAUCAAAUUUCAAAAUUAAAAAGCCAUACAAUCUUCGUCUUUUUCUUUCAUUUUUUUUCUCAUCCUUACUGUUUCAUCUUUUCUUUUCAUUCAUUUUUUUUCUUAUCCUUACUCCUUCAUUUUUUUCCCUUUUCUUUCAUUUACAUGACUCUAGGGAUGACAAAAUCCAAGUUUGAAUCCAGCCUUUCCAGUUUCGUAUAUGAUUUUCUUAUACCGGAUCCAGAUUUAAACCUAAUUUUUUUUCAUCUGGGUCCGAUUCGAGUUUAAUCAAGAAAAAAUUUGGGUUUUUGGAUUCCAUAUUUUGAACUUGGAUUAAUGAAUCAAGUAAAAAAAAUAAAAAUAAAAAUAAAUCCAUAUUCUAAUAAAAUAAAAUAAACAGAUAUGGAUUAAAUUUCAAUGUUUCUAAGCAAUAAAACAUCCACAAAUACAAUAAUCAUCAAUAAGAAUAAUAUUCAUUUGCAAGAAAAAAUAUCAAAAGCAGAGGAAACAAAUCAUAACGAGAGAGAAAUUGUGGGAACUAUCAUGCAUUUGUAGAUCUCACUUUGCUGCCAUAUCAGAGGAAAAAAGAGGCAGAAAAGGCUGAAAAAGGCAAAGCAAAACCCAUGCCUUGAUGAUGAUGAUGAAGAGGAUGUUUUCAGCUGAUGCUGUCGUUUUCAAUCGGAUAUCGUUGGUGUUGUUUUCAAUCGGAUAUCUCGCUGUUUUAGUGCUGUUUUCAACUGAUGCCACCGAUGAUGACGAAUGUCGUAUUUUCAAUCGUAUCAUAGCUGGACAAAUGGCGGCUGAUGAUGAUGAAUAGAAUCGUGAAGGUAGCGAUUGGCAAAGCACAAUGAUUUGAUUUGAUGAGGAGAAGAGUUGAAGAGAAAGGAAAUGUGCGAAGGCAGGCUGUGAUCUGUGAAACUAGGCCAUUUUUUUAAUCUUUGUAUUUAGGGGUGGGCAUGGGUUGGUUUGGAUUGGAUUUUAAAUCAACCAAAAUCAAACCAUAAAAAUUUGGAUCCAACUCAAACCAACUCAAAUAUUUUUAACCCAAACCAAACCAAACCAUUUGGGUUUGGUUUGAAUUUUAUUAU